rnacentral:rRNA from 1 species
CGCAGCGACGCCGCGUGAUGGACGAAGGCCCUCGGGUUGUAAACAUCUGUCGUAGGGGAGGAAAUUUUGACCGAUCCUAGGAGGAAGCACAGGCUAAGUUCGUGCCAGCAGCCGCGGUAAUACGAACUGUGCAAACGUUAUUCGGAAUCACUGGGCUUAAAGGGUGCGUAGGCGGGUUUAUAGGUCAGAUGUGAAAGCCCACGGCUCAACCGUGGAAUUGCGUUUGAAACCAUAAGUCUUGAGGGGAUCAGAGGAGAGCGGAACUGAUGGUGGAGCGGUGAAAUGCGUUGAUAUCAUCAGGAACACCGGUGGCGAAAGCGGCUCUCUGGGAUCUUUCUGACGCUGAGGCACGAAAGCUAGGGGAGCGAACGGGAUUAGAUACCCCGGUAGUCCUAGCUGUAAACGAUCUGUACUAGUCCGUGGAGCCUCCCACAGUUUCUCGGACGUAGCGAAAGUGUUAAGUACAGCGCCUGGGGAGUAUGGUCGCAAGGCUGAAACUCAAAGGAAUUGACGGGGCCUUCACACAAAAAG